rnacentral:lncRNA from 1 species
AUAAAGCCAAAUUUGUUAUUAUUGCUCCCGUAAGUUCAUUUCUUCAUGACCCACCAUGCCUUUUUACCCCUGUUUUUGAUUGGAAGUAUUGAAUUAAUAUAUAUUUGAACUGGUUUAGUAAAAAUCUACUCUUAACCUUGUUACUAAAUAAAGAAUUGAUUUGUCUUAUUACCUGCAGUUAAGCAGUGAAUUGUUCACAAGUUAAAAGCAAGCCGCAAAUGAUUUUCUUGUCCAUUCAUUAUUCAUUUAUAAGAUAUGCUUGCUGCUGGUGAAGGAAGGCCAUAUGCUAGUUGCUGCAAAAUGGAGUUUGUAGGUGAAUGUUUAUGGACUAAAAUAUAUAAGUGCUUGAUAGUGUUUUGAUUUUCAAAUUUUAUAGGUACAUGAAUUGAAUUGCUAUUUUGAUUUGUGUAAUGCAAAAUCUGUUAUCUUUGUUCCUCUACAUGUUAAGAGUAGGUAGAUUGGUAGUUGUUUCAUGCAUGGGUUAUUUAAGUCUCUUGAAGAUGUUCUGUGUAAUGUGAAGCAAAUGAGUACUUGGUUAUGACUUUCAUAUGUUAGACACUAACAAUAUGACUUACAAAUGAGUGACAAUUCGUAAUUGACUUAGCAGUGAGAUAACUUGUAAUGUGUACAUGUUAUAUAGGACAUGAGUGAUAAUUAGACCAAUCUUCUAUCUUUAUCUUUAUUCCUCUUCUUUUUGUUUUGUUCUUGAAUGUAGGUAAUCACAUGCAUGUUGCCAUACUAUUCAAUGUCUUCAGAUUUUUUAUGCCCUCCAAUUGUUUGAUAAAAAGCCUGAAUGAAUCUUGGCACUUCAUUUUUGGCAGCCCAUUUCUACAUAUGAGGAGCUAAGGAAUAUGGAGUUAAAGAGCUUGAGGAAAGGCUUAUGGUUUCUACUUGAAUCUAUAUCUAUAUUGUUUUAUAUGAAUUUGGCUGAUUGAAAUUACAUUCCAGUAGAAUAAUAAAUGGAUAAUGAAAUUUACUUUUGUGAUUUUCAAAAUGGAUGGAGUAAAAUAAUAAAUAACUAUCCUUUCCGUAAAUAAUUUUAAUUUACAAAGGCAAUACUAAUUUAUAUAUAUAUAUAUAUAUUUCAUAUGAGGAGUUGUAUAGUAGGCAUAUGGAUUGAGGCUUUGCAUCUACAUCCAUAUUUGCAUUAAAGUGGUUAGUGUUGGUGUUCACAAGUUGUUUUGGCUUCAAAGAUUAUUAUAUAAGUUGAGUAAACAAUAGUAAUUCAUAUAAUAAUGUAGAUCAACACUCGUUGAAAUAUCUUUUUUUUUUAAUUAGCAUGGUCUUCAAGAUAUUCAAUGUCUUCCUGUAUAAUUUUGGAUAAAAGAGUAAUAUUGUUGGAGCUCAUUUAAAGCGCAUAAAGUGUUUUAAAUUGUUAUCACAUGGAUAUAUUAAAUGAAUGAUAAUUAAGUAGUUUACAAUUUGAUUUUUGGUAAAUAACUUGUUGUUUUAAAAUUAAAGUUCAAGAGAAUUGAUGAAUACGCCAUGAAAGAGGUCUCACGACUUCGUGAUCAAUGGGCUACGUAUGUUGUCAAGUUAAUUACAACUUGUAAUCAUGAGGUAACAUAUGACUAAUUUAUGAUUAUUUUUGCUUUUAAAUUUCAAGACUUAUUUUUUUGUGGUGUACUAAUUGAUUUAAUGUACUUGUAGGUGGGAAAAAAAUGAAGCCACGUAUGGCUAUUCAAUGACAUUAUCGAGCAUAUUCUUGUUGGUUAAUGUUUUUGAAACUUGAUUUUGUACUUUGUUAUUUAAAACAUGUCCAAAACUUAAUUUGGUACUUUUUUUUUCUUUACCAAACAGUGGUGUAGUUGAAUUAUGUUAAUUUAAGUUAUGUAUUUGUGAUGUUUAUUAUGUGAAUACUGUUGCAAGA